ACAGUUCGGUCCCUAUCCGUCGUGGGCGUAGGAAAUUUGAGAGGAGCUGUCCUUAGUACGAGAGGACCGGGAUGGACAUACCUCUGGUGUACCAGUUGUCGUGCCAACGGCAUAGCUGGGUAGCUAUGUAUGGACGGGAUAAGUGCUGAAAGCAUCUAAGCAUGAAGCCCCCCUCAAGAUGAGAUUUCCCAACUUCGGUUAUAAGAUCUCUCGAAGAUGACGAGGUUAAUAGGUUCGAGGUGGAAGCGUGGUGACACGUGGAGCUGACGAAUACUAAUCGAUCGAAGACUUAAUCAA
rnacentral:rRNA from 1 species